GGAUUAGAUACCCUGGUAGUCCACGCCGUAAACGAUGUGCGCUAGACGUCGGGCAGCUUGCUGUUCGGUGUCGCAGCUAACGCAUUAAGCGCACCGCCUGGGGAGUACGGUCGCAAGAUUAAAACUCAAAGGAAUUGACGGGGGCCCGCACAAGCGGUGGAGCAUGUGGUUUAAUUCGAUGCAACGCGCAGAACCUUACCAGCCCUUGACAUCCCGGUCGCGGUUUCCAGAGAUGGAUUCCUUCAGUUCGGCUGGACCGGUGACAGGUGCUGCAUGGCUGUCGUCAGCUCGUGCCG
rnacentral:rRNA from 1 species